AUGCGGACGAUCUUAUACACGGACGACGCCGUCAUCUUCAUUAACCCUGCACGUCAAGAAGUAGAUAGUCUAGUUGAGCUGCUGCAGUUUUUCGGCAAUGCAACAGGCCUCCGGGUCAACCUCGCCAAAUCUCUAGCGGCUCCCAUUAGGUGCGAAGACGUAUACAUUCCUGAUGUUCUUCGGAACUUUGGCGGCAUCACGACGGCGUUCCCGAUUAGGUAUCUAGGCCUCCCAUUUUCUACGGGGCAUAUUAGACUAGCGCAUAUUCAGGUCAUUCUGGACAGGAUACGUGCUCGCCUCGCCGGCUGGAAAGGCAGACUUAUGCCGCUGGCCGGACGGCGAGUCUUA
rnacentral:rRNA from 1 species